UCACAGUAUAGCAUUAUACAAUGAUCAAAUAUUUAUAGGAUAUGGAUGGGCAUGCGGAACAUUAGCUAGUUGGUAAGGUAACGGCUUACCAAGGCUACGAUGUUUAGGGGAUCUGAGAGGAUGACCCCCCACACUGGUACUGAGACACGGACCAGACUCCUACGGGAGGCAGCAGUAAGGAAUAUUGGUCAAUGGGCGGAAGCCUGAACCAGCCAUGCCGCGUGCAGGAAGACGGCCCUACGGGUUGUAAACUGCUUUUAUACGGGAAUAAACCUCUCUACGUGUAGGGAGCUGAAUGUACUGUAAGAAUAAGGAUCGGCUAACUCCGUGCCAGCAGCCGCGGUAAUACGGAGGAUCCAAGCGUUAUCCGGAUUUAUUGGGUUUAAAGGGUGCGUAGGCGGCCUAUUAAGUCAGGGGUGAAAGACGGUAGCUUAACUAUCGCAGUGCCUUUGAUACUGAUGGGCUUGAAUCUACUUGAGGUAGGCGGAAUGUGACAAGUAGCGGUGAAAUGCAUAGAUAUGUCACAGAACACCAAUUGCGAAGGCAGC
rnacentral:rRNA from 1 species